AAAUAGGUUUGAACACCAUGUCCCAAGUGACUGUAACGGUCACAGCUUAUACCUCGUCAAGACUUUUUCCUGCUGGUCUUGCAGCAGCUGCAGCGUUAGCUCCUUGGGGGUCCGGGCAGAAGAGGGGCAUGGCCUACCCAGGGCCCCAGCUCACUGGAAGGAGCCUGUGGGUCUGGUCUGGGCCCCAGCCACGCUCCACCAGGUCCUUGGGGACCUCGUGUGCCUGCUGUGGCCGCCUCUGCUGGGCAGACAGACCCCUUUUUAGACGUCAAUCCCGAGAAGCCUCCAGGACACGGCUGCAGAUGCCCCGUCGUUCCAGGGUGAUGGUCAUUCCAGGGUGAUGGCCGGGGCUGUGGACACCACCACCCCAUGGGGGAUAGCGGGCUGUUUGUUGGCCUCCAGGCAGGACAUUCCAGAGGUGGGGGCCAUGCCAGCAACCUCAGGGCCUCCGAGAGAUGGCAGGGCUGGCACCCGCCCUGCGGGCACUGUCCCUGUCCCAGGUGUGGGUGGGGCCUGGUGGCUGAAUUUCCCUUUCACUUUAAACUCACGGGAAAGUCUCCUGCUUUUCUGCCCUUUGGGCAAGUUCUCACUUACGCGGCCAUGUGAGCAAAUGGACAUUUUUAAAAGGGAUUCAUAGCAACUCCCAGACAUGUCCUCAUUUCACAAUGCCGGGGGAAGGUGAUUAGAUGAGCUUUUGCAUCUUUGACUCUACUGUGACGGAAUUAUCCUGAGAUUGUGCAGAAACACCCGCAGGAAUUCACGGGUGUUACAAACAGUGCAAACCUAAUGGGGCUUCACUACCCACAAGGGGAGGCUGGACAGAGCCGUCGGGCCCAGAGGCUGUGAACGUGAGCUUGGCCUUUGGGCCUGUGUCUGGGAGCCGGUGUUCACAGAAGCCCUUUGUGCAGCACAGAUGGAGAUGUGGGGAGGUGUUUACCAUUCCUGGGCCCAGGGCAGGCUCACUUUAGGAAUUUCUGCCGCUCCUCUAAUCCAGAGCCUUCUCUCCACACCCAGGGUCCGGGAGGUGCCGCAGGCCCUAAGGGAGACCAGGGUAUUGCAGGUUCCGACGGUCUUCCUGGGGAUAAAGGAGAACUGGGUCCCAGCGGCCUGGUCGGACCCAAAGGAGAGUCUGGCAGUCGAGGGGAGCUGGGCCCCAAAGGCACCCAGGGUCCCAACGGCACCAGCGGUGUUCAGGGUGUCCCCGGGCCCCCCGGUCCUCUGGGCCUGCAGGGCGUCCCGGGUGUUCCUGGCAUCACGGGGAAGCCGGGAGUUCCGGGGAAGGAGGCCAGCGAGCAGCGCAUCAGGGAGCUGUGUGGGGGGAUGAUCAGCGAACAAAUUGCACAGUUAGCCGCGCACCUAAGGAAGCCUUUGGCACCCGGGUCCAUUGGCCGGCCCGGUCCAGCUGGCCCCCCUGGGCCCCCAGGACCCCCAGGCUCCAUUGGUCACCCUGGCGCUCGAGGACCCCCCGGAUACCGCGGUCCCACUGGGGAGCUGGGAGACCCCGGGCCCAGAGGAAACCAGGGUGACAGAGGAGACAAAGGCACGGCAGGAGCAGGGCUGGACGGGCCUGAAGGAGACCAGGGGCCCCAAGGACCCCAAGGCGUGCCCGGCACCAGCAAGGACGGCCAGGACGGUGCUCCCGGCGAGCCUGGGCCUCCCGGAGAUCCUGGGCUUCCAGGUGCCAUUGGGGCCCAGGGGACACCGGGGAUCUGCGACACCUCAGCCUGCCAAGGAGCCGUGUUAGGAGGGGUCGGGGAAAAAUCAGGCUCUAGAAGCUCAUAAAAUUCAACGUGAGGAAGCAAGUGACAAGGACGCCUGAAGCACGGUGGACGGUCAUGAAGGAGCGGGGGUGUGGCAGGCGGGUGACGUCCAGGAGAGGGAGCGCCCCUGGCUGCCCCUCGGCCGCCGACUGGACGCGCGGGCCCUGCCAGCGAGCACCCUCAUCGGGCUGUCGCCUGACAGCAUACCUCAAAAGGCCCUAGCUAAUAAACCUGUAAGCCCAGCAUUUGAGAGAAGGUAGGGUGUGUAUAUAUAAAAGGUGUACAACUCCACGAGGUGAAAAAUAUUCAGUAACUUGUUUACAUAGCAUUUGUGUAAAGACUAUGAUCUCAUCCCAAUAAAAUGAUAUAUUAAAUCUUCAGAUUAAUGACUGGCUACAGAGUAACAAAAAAUAAAGAAUUUAAUGUACAGU
rnacentral:sRNA from 1 species